CCUGAUCCAGCCAUGCCGCGUGAGUGAUGAAGGCCCUAGGGUUGUAAAGCUCUUUUGUGCGGGAAGAUAAUGACGGUACCGCAAGAAUAAGCCCCGGCUAACUUCGUGCCAGCAGCCGCGGUAAUACGAAGGGGGCUAGCGUUGCUCGGAAUCACUGGGCGUAAAGGGUGCGUAGGCGGGUCUUUAAGUCAGGGGUGAAAUCCUGGAGCUCAACUCCAGAACUGCCUUUGAUACUGAAGAUCUUGAGUUCGGGAGAGGUGAGUGGAACUGCGAGUGUAGAGGUGAAAUUCGUAGAUAUUCGCAAGAACACCAGUGGCGAAGGCGGCUCACUGGCCCGAUACUGACGCUGAGGCACGAAAGCGUGGGGAGCAAACAGGAUUAGAUUCCCUGGUAGUCCACGCCGUAAACGAUGAAUGCCAGCCGUUAGUGGGUUUACUCACUAGUGGCGCAGCUAACGCUUUAAGCAUUCCGCCUGGGGAGUACGGUCGCAAGAUUA
rnacentral:rRNA from 1 species